rnacentral:misc_RNA from 1 species
AACGCACGAGACCUGCGGACCUGCGGAGGGAUCAUUACCGAGUUAUCCAACUCCCAACCCCUGUGAAUUAUACCUUUAAUUGUUGCUUCGGCGGGACUUCGCGCCCGCCGGGGACCCGAACCUUCUGAAUUUUUAAUAAGUAUCUUCUGAGUGGUUAAAAAAAAAUGAAUCAAAACUUUUAACAACGGAUCUCU